GUAUUUAUUUAGUUCUGGUUAUGGGAGAGGAGAAAGUAAUAAUCACAUAAGAUGUUUGUAUAUAUUUUAUUAAGGGUGCAUGCUAAAAAUUUAGUGAUGGGUUCUUGUUUUUAAGGUAACUUAGAGCAGGGUGCUUUCUAGGAAGUGGUGAAUUCUCAGUGCCAGCCUCCGCGGUUAUUCUGUGGCUUCUUUCUCCUUGUCAGUUAAAAUUAUUUUUAGAGUUAAUUUAAAGAUAUAGGUAGAAUUUUCUUUUAUUGGUAAUUAGCUUUGAAGUGGGUGCGAAGUUUGUUUUUAGAAAAGGAUUAGAGACCCUUGUAUAAAAAGUUUAAGUUUGUUGUCUGUAGUGGAAACUAAAAGGAUUUGGCAGCCGAUGAAGUUCGUCCGGGGGAGUGUGUUCUUUAAAAGAUGAUCCGCUUAGUGGUUUACCUUAUUUACUGGUUAGUGUAUAUCCGGUUUAAGAUCUGUAAUGAAUGUUACGGGUGUAUAUAUUUAGUAUUUAAACCAGGUCUUUGUGCUGCUGAUGGUAAGGUUAGUAAAUGCGCUACAUUAUUAAAAGCUUUUAAUGUAAUGUUAAAAGGUAUUUGGGACUCGGUAGUAGGGGACAAUGAAUUUGUGUUCUCGAAGGGGAUUUAGUUGGGGUACACACCGCCCGUCACUCAGGGCGUUAGCUCUGAUAAGUCGUAACAUGGUAAUAUUAGGGGAACCUGAUGUUAGUUAAUUUACUGUUUAGUAGGUAAGUUA
rnacentral:rRNA from 1 species